rnacentral:rRNA from 1 species
AACGAACGCUGGCGGCAGGCUUAACACAUGCAAGUCGAACGACCCCUUCGGGGGGAGUGGCAGACGGGUGAGUAACGCGUGGAAACGUGCCUUUCUCUACGGAAUAGCCCUUGGAAACGAGGUGUAAUACCGUAUACGCCCUUAGGGGGAAAGAUUUAUCGGAGAAAGAUCGGUCCGCGUUAGAUUAGUUUGUUGGUGGGGUAAUGGCCUACCAAGACUACGAUCUAUAGCUGAUUUGAGAGGAUGAUCAGCCACACUGGAACUGAGACACGGUCCAG